GAUGAACGCUGGCGGCGUGCUUAACACAUGCAAGUCGAACGGAAAGGCUCCUGCUUGCAGGGGUACUCGAGUGGCGAACGGGUGAGUAACACGUGGGUGAUCUGCCCUGCACUUCGGGAUAAGCCUGGGAAACUGGGUCCAAUACCGGAUAGGACGAUGGUUUGGAUGCCAUUGUGGAAAGUUUUUUCGGUGUGGGAUGAGCUCGCGGCCUAUCAGCUUGUUGGUGGGGUAAUGGCCUACCAGGGCGUCGACGGGUAGCCGGCCUGAGAGGGUGUACGGCCACAUUGGGACUGAGAUACGGCCCAGACUCCUACGGGAGGCAGCAGUGGGGAAUAUUGCACAAUGGGCGCAAGCCUGAUGCAGCGACGCCGCGUGGGGGAUGACGGCCUUCGGGUUGUAAACUCCUUUCGCUAGGGACGAAGCGCAAGUGACGGUACCUGGAGAAGAAGCACCGGCUAACUACGUG
rnacentral:rRNA from 1 species